rfam:Aedes albopictus isolate Foshan contig25793, whole genome shotgun sequence.
CUUCUCGUGGUGUAGUUGACAAAGCGCCUGUCUAGUUAGUAGGAGUCGUGAGUUCGAGUCUCACCGAGAGGA